UAUAUUAUUAGAAUGUGAAGACGUCUACCCAGCGGUCGAUUUAGGCACCACUGGCCUCCUUGAAGCCCUUGGGUUCAGCGGGAGCAGUGGUAAAGCAAACAGGUCCGCAAUAGACAUUAGUAAGAGGCGAUUGGAGGAUUGGUGGAAGAAAAGUAGGGAAACGACAAAAGACGGAGACGAACAAAAGCACAGUUCGGAAUAAGGGAUGAGAAAGUUUGGACGUGGUAGUUCAUAGUGUUUUUUCUUUCUUUUUUCAUUGUUUAACCAAGGUAGGAUAUUAGGCAGUAUAGUAGGAAGAGCUUGGUGGCGCAACCCAGCGCCCCGUUGCAAAGGGGACGCUCAUAAUAUCCAUCCAUACGUCCAUCCGUUAGGAGUGGUGGACGAACCGGCUAAUGCGAAGUCAGCCGGCAUUUAUCGUGGCGUGUUGUAAAUGUUGUUAGUUUGCCGUAAAUAUCUCUUGAUUUGUACUCAAGAGUGGAGCAAGACCACAAGGAACAGAUUGACGCAUCGGGAGCGAAGAAGAGAAACGAUGGAUGGUUACGCUGCUUGGGUAUCGGCACGUUCGAUUUGGCAAAGUUCCGAAUUUGUCGCUGUGUGGUGUACGCUUGUGCGCUCGUCAUUUGCCGUCCUCGCGCGGGGAUAUUUGCGCUGGAUGUCUUUCACUUCGUGUGCAAAACUCUGCACUCUGUGGCAUCGAAGAAGUUGGCCUGUGUUUGUGUGCACGUAUGCGCUUCGACACGGAUAGCCUGCUUGCUCUCAAGGGGUGUUCAAGAGUCUACGCGCACUCGUAACUUGCUCAUGAGGUAAGCCCAUUUUAAUCUUAUUUGGUUUGCAUAACGUAGGUUUUAAAAUUAUAUGUGGUAAGCCGGUGUCGCGAAGAGAAAUAUUGUUUCAAAAGACCACUAAGCAACGUCUUAGGGCAGAAAUGCAUCAAUGGGGAAAGGGAUCACCCUAUCUUUUCAGAUCGAAUCCAGUGGUAGCGCGAUUGGCUCGAUCGCAAUUUCCGUGUGGUACUUCUAAGCUUUUCUCACUCGCGUUAAAAGCGUAGAAUAAAACGGCGUUCAGUUGCGCACUUGUAUUGGCGCUUGUAUUGGCUUGAGAGCAUACUGUAUCCGAUACAAGAACUUCUGCUAGAAUACGGAAAUAAACGCUCGAGGCAAUAGCAGUGGCUCACUACCUGUGAUCGUUACUUUCUUGCUUAGGUGCACGUUUUAAUUGUGACCAGAAAAAAAAGUUCUUCGCUCUGGCUGCUCUGCUGUGUUUCCUUGGUGCUACUUGUUGCGGUGCAGCAAGACGUGUUGCUUCGAAUGAUGUCUGGGCAGUCAAGGCAUUCGUGUUAGUAAGCAAGCAGUAAACGGUGUAUCAGUGCGAAAUAAUUUGGACAUACAAGAGAAGCGAAUGGUAUGAUCAUUGACUCUAUUUUUACGAAUAAUUCAGUUGUAUUACUAAAGCGGAGAGUGAAUAUGCAUGAAAGUGAAAUAGUAUUGAUACUCAGCAAAAACAAGGUAACUUAUCAUUACUAAUUAAUCCUGUUCUUUUACUGAAAGGCAAGUUGCUGUUGUUCUACUGGAGCUGAGAAGAGGUCUGCUGCCGGCAAUGGGUCCAUCUCUCUCAAGUUAUGGCAGUAUCAUAGCUCUCAAAGUUCAAAAAAGUAUAGCGAAAGCUGUUGCCAAGGUUCCGACCGGAAAAAAAGCCAGUAUGAAAAGGUCCACACCACUGAUCUUUACUACAUGUGAUGGACAGCACAUCGAGCGCCCUCGACUGAAGCCAACCUUGUCCCGAAAGUUGGUGCUUCACUACUUUGCAGCAGCACUUCGUUUGCACGGCCUGUGGAGAACAAGGUUUCUUAGACAUGGCCAUGGCCCUCAAGGAAGAUGCCGAGGCCACACGCAGUUCUUCCAGUGACCGUGAAAAGGUCCCCUGGGCACAAGUCUAAAUUGGCACCCCCACCUUUCUCCUGCAGCUUUUCUGUCUACUUAGCUAACCAGCAGCAAGUUAAUCCUUGCAAGCGUUUGGGGUCAAGAACAACCUCCACCAGGAAAAAGUGCAAGACGAGUGAUUGAAGAAAAUAAAGUUGCUUGUGUCAUCUAAGAACUUGAGCACUGAAAUGCUGCACCUUUUUGUAUAUAUACUAUGCAAUGCAUUCAUAUCACAAAGUGCAAGGUGUUUUAUCUCUGCAGCCAUGUCAGUGUGUUGGCAAGACAAUUUUCUCAAUGGUGACCUGCUGCUUCGGCUAUGCGCUGCCUUCAUGACAUUUGUAUUAAAGGAGAUGUACUAUCGUGGACAAAAGUACCCUGGAAGUGCGAGCAUCGACCAAAUUGAAUUUCUGUUCAAGACCGCUGAAAACAGUGGGUCACGUAUGCACAUUCCGAACGCAGAUGCUAGCACAGCUGAUCCCAGCAAAUAGUGCACCAAUAAAGUUCGGUCGACUCUCGCACGUCGUGGACAAUUUUGUCCCCGAUGGCACAUUCUCCGAACAACGGAUAUGCUCUGCAAGAGGAAAUACGGGAAGCACCUGUACUUUAACGGAUAUAGUACAGAUAUUUCCUUUCAAUCGGUUUAUACUUUUUUUCACACACGCAGGUGAUUGUGUAUUUUGCAUACUUGUUUUUAUACUAAUGUUUUGUUUGACUUUGUAUUUGCUAUCGUGACAGAGGUG